rnacentral:rRNA from 1 species
CCUACGGGUGGCAGCAGUGGGGAAGAGUGCACAAUGGGCGAAAGCCUGAUGCAGCAACGCCGCGUGAGGGAUGAAGGCCUUCGGGUCGUAAAGCUCUGUCCGCAAGGAAGAGAAUGACGGUACUUGAGGAGGAAGCCCCGGCGAACUACGUGCCAGCAGCCGCGGUAAUACGGAGGGGGCGAGCGUUAUCCGGAAUUACUGGGCGUAAAGGGGGCGGAGGUGGUUUCUUAAGUCAGAGGUGAAAGGCUACGGCUCCACCGUAGUUAGCCUUUGCAACGGGGGAACUUGCGGGCAGGAGCGGCUAGUGGACUUCCUCGUGUAGCGGUUACAUGCGUAUCUAUUAGGCUGAACCCCAGUUGCGACGGCGGCUCUCUGGACUGUAACUGACCCUGAGGCCC